GACGAACGCUGGCGGCGUGCCUAAUACAUGCAAGUCGAGCGGACCAAAGGGAGCUUGCUCCUGGAGGUUAGCGGCGAACGGGUGAGUAACACGUGGGCAACCUGCCUGUAAGACUGGGAUAACAUCGAGAAAUCGGUGCUAAUACCGGAUAAUAAAAAGAACUGCAUGGUUCUUUUUUGAAAGAUGGUUUCGGCUAUCACUUACAGAUGGGCCCGCGGCGCAUUAGCUAGUUGGUGAGGUAACGGCUCACCAAGGCGACGAUGCGUAGCCGACCUGAGAGGGUGAUCGGCCACACUGGGACUGAGACACGGCCCAGACUCCUACGGGAGGCAGCAGUAGGGAAUCUUCCGCAAUGGACGAAAGUCUGACGGAGCAACGCCGCGUGAGUGAUGAAGGUUUUCGGAUCGUAAAACUACUGUUGUUAGGGAAGAACAAGUGCCGUUCGAAAGGGCGGCACCUUGACGGUACCUAACGAGAAAGCCACGGCUAACUACGUGCCAGCAGCCGCGGUAAU
rnacentral:rRNA from 1 species